GGGUAACGGCCCACCGUGCCAGUAAUCGGUACGGGUUGUGAGAGCAAGAGCCCGGAGACGGUAUCUGAGACAAGAUACCGGGCCCUACGGGGCGCAGCAGGCGCGAAACCUUUACACUGCACGCCAGUGCGAUAAGGGGACUCCAAGUGCGAGGGCAUAUAGUCCUCGCUUUUUCGCGAACGUAAGGUGGUCGCGGAAUAAGUGCUGGGCAAGACCGGUGCCAGCCGCCGCGGUAAUACCGGCAGCACGAGUGAUGACCGCUGUUAUUGGGCCUAAAGCGUCCGUAGCUGGCCGCACAAUCUAUCGGGAAAUCUCUCCGCUUAACGGAGAGGCGUCCGGUGGAAACUGUGUGGCUUGGGACCGGAAGACCAGAGGGGUACGUCUGGGGUAGGAGUGAAAUCCCGUAAUCCUGGACGGACCACCGGUGGCGAAAGCGCCUCUGGAAGACGGAUCCGACGGUGAGGGACGAAAGCUCGGGUCACGAACCGGAUUAGAUACCCGGGUAGUCCGAGCUGUAAACGAUGUCUGCUAGGUGUGACACAGGCUACGAGCCUGUGUUGUGCCGUAGGGAAGCCGUGAAGCAGACCGCCUGGGAAGUACGUCCGCAAGGAUGAAACUUAAAGGAAUUGGCGGGGGAGCACUACAACCGGAGGAGCCUGCGGUUUAAUUGGACUCAACGCCGGACAUCUCACCAGCAUCGACAAUGUGCAGUGACGGUCAGUAUGAUGAGCUUACCUGAGCCAUUGAGAGGAGGUGCAUGGCCGCCGUCAGCUCGUACCGUGAGGCGUCCUGUUAAGUCAGGCAACGAGCGAGACCCGCACCCUUAAUUGCCAGCAGCACCCUUGUGGUGGCUGGGUACAUUAAGAGGACUGCCAGUGCCAAACUGGAGGAAGGAACGGGCAACGGUAGGUCAGUAUGCCCCGAAUGUGCUGGGCGACACGCGGGCUACAAUGGCCAAGACAGUGGGAUGCAACGCCGAAAGGCGACGCUAAUCUCCGAAACUUGGUCGUAGUUCGGAUUGAGGGCUGAAACUCGCCCUCAUGAAGCUGGAUUCGGUAGUAAUCGCGCCUCAGAAGGGCGCGGUGAAUACGUCCCUGCUCCUUGCACACACCGCCCGUCAAAGCACCCGAGUGGGGUCCGGAUGAGGCCCGGUUUCCGGGUCGAAUCUGGGCUCCGCAAG
rnacentral:rRNA from 1 species